GUUCUGUGGCUCCACUUCUAGAAUGCUCAAGUUACCCUGACAACCAAAAGGCACGGCAAAGCACAAGGGCACUGAUAGACAAUGAUCAGCUUCCAGCAACUGCUUUCACUUCCUUAGUCAGCAAAGACCGACGUGUUACCGUGGGUUAUAUACAUUCCUCUUCACCCUGGACACGAACUUGGGUCCCGGGUCAAUAGAUUUGAGCGCAAGAUUAAAGCAUGAAAACACAGAAGCAAAUAUACUGCACUGGAGCAUUAGC